AAAAGAGGUAACAUUGAAGCUAAUCA
rnacentral:sRNA from 1 species